AGAGAGAGACAUGCGCGCAUAUCAAUAAGCGGAGGAAAAGAAACUAACAAGGAUUCCCUUAGUAACGGCGAGUGAAGCGGGAAGAGCUCAAAUUUGAAAUCUUCAAGGUUCUACCUUGACGAAUUGUAGUUUAAAGAAGUGUUUUCUGUUGGAGUUUUGGUAAAAGUUCUUUGGAAUAGGACAUCAUAGAGGGUGAGAAUCCCGUAUUUGGUCCAUUAUUCCCUAGCUGUGUGAUACACUUUCAAAGAGUCGGAUUGUUUGGGAAUGCAGUCCAAGAUGGGUGGUAAAUUUCAUCUAAAGCUAAAUAUUGGCGAGAGACCGAUAGCGAACAAGUACCGUGAGGGAAAGAUGAAAAGAACUUUGAAAAGAGAGUUAAACAGUACGUGAAAUUGUCAAAAGGGAAGCGUUUGACACCAGUGUUGUUUUUCCGAAAAUCAAUUACGAAUGUUUUGUUUUUGAGGAGUUAUGACUUCAUCGGCUUGCUCCUUUCUUUACGAAACUUUCUUAAUGCACUUUUCGGUUAACAAGUCAACAUCAAUUUCUUUUGUUGUAAGAGGGUAUGAGGAAGGUGGCUUUCUUUUCGGAGAAAGUGUUUAUAGCCUUGUACCUUCUGCAAUCGGAGAGAUUGAGGUCUGCAGCGUAGAUCCUUCGGGGUUAGAUGCAUUUGUGCUAAGUUAUAGCUUUUCAUAGACAACUUGUUGACUAUGAUUUAGUCAUUGUAGCUUACUCGCUUAUGCUAUUUUACCUACGCUUAGGAUGUUGAUCUGUAGUGCGUGCGC
rnacentral:rRNA from 1 species